CACGUAGGGGGCAAGCGUUGUCCGGAUUUAUUGGGCGUAAAGAGCUCGUAGGUGGUUCGGUAAGUCGGGUGUUAAACCCCCAGGCUCAACCUGGGGACGCCACUCGAUACUGCUGUGACUUGAGUCCGGUAGGGGAGCGUGGAAUUCCUGGUGUAGCGGUGAAAUGCGCAGAUAUCAGGAGGAACACCAGCGGCGAAGGCGGCGCUCUGGGCCGGUACUGACACUGAGGAGCGAAGCGUGGGUAGCAAACAGG
rnacentral:rRNA from 1 species